rnacentral:rRNA from 1 species
CCCCUAGAUGUUCUGGGCCGCACGCGCGCUACACUGAACAGUUCAACAAGUCUUAACCUUGGCCGAUAGGUCUGGGUAAUCUUUGAACGCUGUUCGUGAUUGGGAUAGACCUUUGCAAUUAUGGGUCUUCAACGAGGAAUUCCUAGUAAACGCAAGUCAUCAGCUUGCAUUGAUUACGUCCCUGCCCUUUGUACACACCGCCCGUCGCACCUACCGAUUGAAUGGUCCGGUGAAAUCUCGGAACGGCGGCUUGGUCGCUUGCGUCCGACUGCUGAAACUUGAUUAAACCAUAUCAUUUAGAGGAAGGUGAAGUCGUAACA